rnacentral:snRNA from 1 species
GUGCUCGCUUCGGCAGCAUAUAUACUAAAAUUGGAAGGAUACAGAGAAGAUUAGCAUGGCCCCUGUGCAAGGAUGACAUGCAAAUUCGUGAAGCGUUCCAUAUUUUU